ACCACUAAAACAAUGGCUUAUCUUCAACCAUUGAUCUUCUAUAUUCUGUCUGCUCUUGCAAUAUUCUGGCUUAUUUCUCCCUCCCAUUCCUCUUUAGAUAAUGUUAAUGACAAGACUACUGUGUCACUAUACUAUGAAACAAGUUUAUGUCCACGUUGUGCCUCCUUUAUCUCCAAUGACCUCGUCAAGGUCUUCCACACUGACCUCCAUACCAUUAUCAAUCUAAGAUUGGUCCCUGGGAGCAAUGCUGAAAUCCAUUGCCAGCAUGGAGAAGAAGAAUGCCACUUAAACACUAUACAUAGUUGUGUCAUCCAUUUCUGGCCUGAUGUGAAAGAACACUUGGAAUUUAUUGGUGUUGAAAUUGGCCAACCAUGCUGCUGUUUGAAGUGCAUGCAGCUUGAUGACAUGCUGCAGCACGUAUACUUGCUGUAACAGCAAGGUUUUCUCUUUAGUUUCUUUGUUAAGCUACUUAGUUGAAAAUGAACUAAGUUGGUAUUGUUUUGAUGUUUUUAGGUGCUGAUUGACAUAAUCAGCUUGUGUGCAAGUUAAGUUUUACUUGUUUCAAAGUAAAACUAGUGGUAGUAGGUAGUAUUUGGUGAUGUAUUUGACUAUAUAUAUGUUAUUUUUCUAGUUGAAUGAAUGAGCUGAAUGAGCUAUCAGCCAUUAGCUCCCUUGCUGCACGUUUGUGAGCAAGUAAAUUGUUUUUGUUUCUUCCUCCUUUGUUCUCUGUCUUGUUCUGUUUCUUUUUACUGCUGCCAUAGUUCCAACAAUUGGCUGCACAGAGCAACAAAGCUUAAAGGGGGGGGCCCGUUGAAGCACUGUGGAAAAAUUGCAGUGAAAAGCUGAGAUUGAAUGAGGAGAUAAUCAACAAAUGCUAUACCACUGGAUUUGGAUAUAAGCUUCUGCUGCAAUAUGCUAACGAGACUGCACAUCUGAAGCCACCUCAAGAAUAUGUGCCAUGGGUGGUGGUGAAUAAUCAGCCACUCAGACAAGACUUUGAAAAUUUUAUGAAAUAUGUGUGCCAAGCUUAUAAAGGAGAUCAUAAACCAGCUGCUUGCAAAGCACAACCAUCCAAUCUCAGCCCAACCAUCUAUGCAUCAUUUGCAGUACCCCAGCCGCCAGUAAUUCCAGUGGUAGACUUCUACAAGUUGGCACUUCAGUUGCCUCCCUCUGUUUGUAGGUCUACUCUCAACUGUAAACUCCCAAUCCCAACUGAAUUCAAAAUACAUGGAAUUUGGGCGCAUACAUGGAAUUUGGGCGCAAGACGCUCAUGACAUGCCGGUGCCCCCAUAUGAUACACAUCAUCCCUGCACCAAUCCACAACCUACCAUAUUACAAUCAAAACUCAGAAAAUUGUUGAAAAGCGAUGUAGCUCUUUGGAACCAAUUGCCCACACUAUGGCCGAACUUGGCAUCGACAGAGUCAGACAUUGGGUUUUGGUUCAAGGAAUGGAAGAAACAUGGCACAUGUUCCGACUUUGCACAACAUCCUCUGUCAUACUUCCAAUCGGCCAUACAACUUAGGACAAAUUUAAAUCCAGCUAUGGGACUCACACGUGGAUCCACCUAUACGGUCCAACAAGUAGUGGAUAUAGUUUUCCGACUUAUAGGAGCAUCUCCACAAAUUUCAUGCAGUAAACACAGAAGAACUAGAGUUCUACUACUCAGGGAGAUGUUUAUUUGUUAUGGAAGACCGGGGCCAUCCCAUACCUUUGGAACUCCCCAAAAUUGUUCCAACUUAUUUUACGGCCUGUGCAGUAGUGGAUCCGAUACCAUAGAAUUUCCAUAGUCAGCUUUACCACAAUUGUCUCAUAUAUGUUUAAAAAUGUUUAAUGUAAUAUCUGAAUUAUCAAUAUGUGUUUUAUUACAGCACUCUAAAUUAUCA